CCCAAAUCUGAUAAGACUGGCGAUUGAUCCUAACUGCCCAAAGUUGAUUCUGACAGACAAUUGCAUCGUCACAAUAUUAAAGGUUCAAUAUACAGUCAGCCUCUCAUAAGAAAAAAAACCAAAGAUCCAAGGCUUGCUUGCUUCAAAGUUAAGAGACCUUUCUGUGCCACAAAGAAAUUGUUCAGGAAGGGAAGAACUGGUGGAUUUGCAUUUUUGGUACACUUCAAAGAGAUUUUCAAAAUGGUCAGAUCAGAGGGAGGACAACUGAAAAUAUUGAAAAGAAACAGAAGAAAAAAGAACCUGGAAAUCUAUGGAAUAAUUAUGAAACGUGGAGGAUGUACAAAAUCUUGUCUGAAUUUGACCUGUAAAGAUUUCUCAUUCUUAUUUAUAUGCUAGAAUAUCAGAUAACUUGAUUUUUCAUAAAUUUACAAUAGAGAAUACAGGACAAAUGUUAUUGCUGAUAUUUCAAUUUUGCUGUGGACAAUUUCAUGUCAUAUGGUAUUUUUAUACAAGUACAUGACCUAAUUAUUUUAUUAAUUUAUACAUGUUUAACGACUUAAUCAUUUUGCUGAAAUCUUGAAAUUUGUACUCAUUUUAGAAUAUGUUAAAUACAUGUAUCGACA